rnacentral:rRNA from 1 species
ACGCUCGACACCUACUGGAGGCAGCAGUGGGGAAUAUUGCACAAUGGGGGAAACCCUGAUGCAGCGACGCCGCGUGAGCGAAGAAGUAUUUCGGUAUGUAAAGCUCUAUCAGCAGGGAAGAAACUGACGGUACCUGACUAAGAAGCACCGGCUAAAUACGUGCCAGCAGCCGNGGUAAUCUGAGCGGGCUGGCAAGGC